rnacentral:tRNA from 1 species
GGCGAUGUAGCUCAGCCGGUUAGAGCGCACGACUCAUAAUCGUGAGGUCCGGGGUUCGAGCCCCCGCAUCGCUACCA